rnacentral:pre_miRNA from 1 species
GGAGGGAGCGCCAGAUCUUGGACUGUGUCCCCAGCGCCUUUGGUUCCCGGGCCUGCACUGGUGGAAUCGCUCCUGGGCUGCACAGCCCCCU